UGCCGCGUGGGUGAAGAAGGCCUUCGGGUUGUAAAGCCCUUUUGUUGGGAAAGAAAAGCAGUCGGUUAAUACCCGAUUGUUCUGACGGUACCCAAAGAAUAAGCACCGGCUAACUUCGUGCCAGCAGCCGCGGUAAUACGAAGGGUGCAAGCGUUACUCGGAAUUACUGGGCGUAAAGCGUGCGUAGGUGGUUGUUUAAGUCCGUUGUGAAAGCCCUGGGCUCAACCUGGGAAUUGCAGUGGAUACUGGGCAACUAGAGUGUGGUAGAGGAUGGCGGAAUUCCCGGUGUAGCAGUGAAAUGCGUAGAGAUCGGGAGGAACAUCUGUGGCGAAGGCGGCCAUCUGGACCAACACUGACACUGAGGCACGAAAGCGUGGGGAGCAAACAGGAUUAGAUACCCUGGUAGUCCACGCCCUAAACGAUGCGAACUGGAUGUUGGGUGCAACUUGGCACGCAGUAUCGAAGCUAACGCGUUAAGUUCGCCGCCUGGGGAGUACGGUCGCAAGACUGAAACUCAAAGGAAUUGACGGGGGCCCGCACAAGCGGUGGAGUAUGUGGUUUAAUUCGAUGCAACGCGAAGAACCUUACCUGGUCUUGACAUCCACGGAACUCUCCAGA
rnacentral:rRNA from 1 species